UACGUAGGGGGCAAGCGUUGUCCGGAAUUAUUGGGCGUAAAGAGCGUGUAGGCGGUCCGGUAAGUCGGCUGUGAAAGUCCAGGGCUCAACCUCGAGACGUCGGCGGAAACCAUCUGGCUAGAGUCCGGAAGAGGAGAGUGGAAUUCCUGGUGUAGCGGUGAAAUGCGCAGAUAUCAGGAAGAACACCCGUGGCGAAGGCGGCUCUCUGGGACGGUACUGACGCUGAGACGCGAAAGCGUGGGGAGCGAACAGG
rnacentral:rRNA from 1 species